CUAUAUACAAAUUCUACUCGUGCAGUAACGCAGCGUUACUGCAGUGUUGGCAUAUCGGUUUUUCUAAGGCAUUGUUGUAAAACUUUAAUUUGCCCAAUAUGAAAGCUCAUUCAACAAACCCUGCAUGUUCACUAGAUUGAUGUGGUUUUUUGGUUGUUGCACAGGUUCUAAGCCUACUUCAAUUUAUCAAAAUGUGAAUGGAUCAUACAAAAGGAUAUUUUACGGUAGGACGAUGCUAAAUAUUCCGUAGUAGGCUGGCUCAACAAAUGGUACAAGUGGUACGGUUUCCAGAGUGUGUUGGGCAAGUGAAAAUAAGCAAAAGUUGAAGAAAGCAAAAUUAACUACAUUUUAACAGCAGAAUAUUAAUUUAAAGCAAUUCCACGAAGAUUUUGCAUUUUUUAAUUGCUGAGCGGGAAUUGCUGAAUGGUAGCGGCUCGGGUGUCUACACCACAGAACCAGUGAUCUAAUCCCAUCCGGGCUAUGUAAACCUCCGUACGCAGGAUGGACUGUCUCGCUACGGGUAAAUAAAGCCAAGGAAAGUUAGCAGUGGCUGGCCAAGACCUCUUCAAGUUGUAGUGAAUUUAAGAAGAUGAAGAUGAAGUUGUAGUGAAGAUGGUGAUAAUAUUACCAGGACUUGGCAACCGGGCCACCGGGCCACCAUUGACCACUGCAAAUUUUGAAAAACAGUGAAAACAUCCAUUAAUAUACUGCGUUAAAUUGAUCGUAUUUGCUGUCGGUAAGGGGUAAGGAAUUUUUGAAUUUACUUAGAUAUUUUAUUCAACAAUUUACUAUUUCUAAUGGUUGUAGAAAACGGAAUACAUGUCAUGCGCUCCGAAAAUAUUUCUUUUCCGCGGCCGAUCCUACAAUGGCACAUCAUGAAACCAAAACUGAAGAGACCCGAAGUGCAUCUUAAACGGAAUUUUCUAAGACUUCCACUAACAUCUUCAAUGCUUGAAUUUUCCCUAUUUUGGCGAUUGUAGCAGAACUAUUGUAAAGAAAUUCUGACGGAGCCAAGAUAGUAAAUUGGACAUUUUAGAUGGUUGAAAAGAAGCAAUUAAAAACCACGAUGGCCGGGCUGACAUCGGCCUUGACCAACUUUGAAAUCCUCAAAACGAACGAAUGAUUCUUAAUUCGGAUAUUAGGAGCUCGCGGUGAAGGCAGAGAAAUUCUCCUGAUAUUCGAAGCAAAUUGGCAUGUUCUGUGAUUCAUAUUAGAAUUCACGCCACUUUAUGUAUCCCGUAUCGAAAAGAUGCCUGCAAGGCUGAAUUGCACCGUAAGCAUCACAAUUAGUAUCGUCAAUUUUUGACAAUAUUCCAAGUAAUCAAAACGCUGCGUUUGAACGGUACAAGUGGAAAAGGUUUCGAGAAUGUGUGUGUUAAGUAAAGUACAAUUGUUUUUGAAUUGCUUAUUGAGAAUUGCUGAAUGGUAGCGGAACCGGUAAUCUAUACCACAGGACCAGUAAUAAAAACACAUCCAGGCCAAACCUCCGUACGCAGGACUGACUGUCUCGCUAUGGGUAAACAAAUUUCAGAAAAGGCAGUCCCGAUACUUUUUGGGGUUGUAGUAUACCACAAAAAAGAGGAUGAAAUCAAUACCAACUGAUGUCCGUCCAGGAUCACUCCUCUCCUAUUCCGUCCAGAAAAGCAAUAGCUGGUGAAGAUGGUGUUAAUAUUACCACGACCGAGCUACCGCGGGGUAAGGAAUUUUGAAAUUUGCUUAGACAUUUUACUAAACAAGCUAAUUUAUGUUUUUGGUUGUAGAAAACAGAAUAUAUGUCAUGCGAUCUGAAAAUAUUCCUUUUCCGUGAUCAAUCUUUCAAUAUUUGAUCAUGAAACCCGGAUUGAAGAGACUACAAGUCCGCCUCAAAGACUUAACUAUUUUGGGGUUUGAAGUAGAAUUGUUGUGCGCAAUUCUGACGGAGCCAAGUCCGUUGCGCAAAAGGAGAGUAAAUUGGAAAUUUUGGAUGGUUAAAAAGAAGCAAUUCCACGAUGGUCGGGUUGAAAUUGGCCAUGACCAACUUUCGGCAAAAAAAAACGUAUAAUUCUCAAACAGGAUCGGUUCCUUUGGUUGUAGCAGAUGAAAUUCACCUAAUGUUCGAAGCAAAUUGGCAUAUUCAGUCUGUAAGGCUGGAUUUCACUGUAAGUACCAUAGUAUCGCCAACGUAAGCCGUAAUUACAUCAGAAAAUUUACAGCAUGAUAAAAAAAAACUUGGGGCGGCCCGGUGGUACAUGUGAAAAACGGCGCCCGCCCUCACGGCAGGACCGGGUUCAAAUCCCAUCCGGACCGUACCCCCGUAGCAAAGUCUGACUAUCCUGCUACGUGGUAAAAUAAGUCUUGAUACGGCCAGGCCCGUUCUAACCGAGCAAAAAAAAAAAUAAAAAAACUUCUACUAGAUGUGACGAAAACUCAAUAGAAUCGGCA